rnacentral:rRNA from 1 species
GGCCUACGGGAGGCAGCAGUGGGGAAUAUUGCACAAUGGGGGGAACCCUGAUGCAGCAACGCCGCGUGAGCGAAGAAGGCCUUCGGGUCGUAAAGCUCUGUCCUAAGGGAAGAUAAUGACGGUACCUUAGGAGGAAGCCCCGGCUAACUACGUGCCAGCAGCCGCGGUAAUA